AGUGAACGCUCUGGGUAGGCCUAACACCUGCAACUCGAACGGCCGCUCAGUCAGAGCUUGCUCUUACGGGUGGCGAGUGGCGGCCGGGUGCGGAAUCAAUUGGACUAUACUUUUAAGUGGGGGAUAACGUAGGGCAACUUACGCAAAUACAGCAUACGACCUACGGGUGAAAGCAGGGGAUCUUCGGACCUUGCGCGAUUCAAUGAGCCGAUGUCGGAUUAGCUAGUUGGCGCGGUAAAGGCGCACCAAGGCGACGAUCCGUAGCGGGUCUGAGAGGAGGACCAGGCACACGGGAACUGAGACACGGUCCAGACUCCUACGGGAGGCAACAGUGAGGAAUUGUGGACAAUGGUCUCAAGCCUGAUCCAGCCAUACCGCGUGGGGGAAGAAGGCCUUCGGGUUGUAAAGCCCUUUUGGUGGGAAAGAAAAUCAGCAGGUUAAUACCCCGCUGUUCUGACGGUACCCAAAGAAUAAGCACCGGCUAACUUCUUG
rnacentral:rRNA from 1 species